AUGCUCAAUGCCAGCCAACCCCAGGCCCCCUAUGCCUCUACGGGCAGAGUCUCCAAGGCUGGAAGUGUGUCCUACCUCCCUCCCCAGCCUGGAAGAGAGGCUCAAGGGGCAGAGGAGGUGGGGGUGAUGGGAGUGUGGAUGAGCCAGAAGGCGUCCCCCACCGGAGGCCGUGCUGUUCCCCAGGACUGCCUGACCCAGCUGCUCGUCCCACCUGCGUCUGCUCGCGCCACUCCUCUCGCCUCUGUCGCUCCACCUGCGUCCAUCCAGCCGUGUGUCUCUUUCUCCUUCUCUGCAGUCUCUUGGCCUGUCUCCACGUCUGUAGGUUUUCUCCCUUUGUUUUUCCGCAUGGUCUCUCUCUUUGCACCGUCUCUGGGUUCACUUUUUGGAUCUGAUCCUCCGACCCUGUCUCUCCCAGCAUAUUUCAACCUCCUCUCCUCCCAAUCACUUCUGCUUAAGCCCUCCCUCCCCAGGAGUGGUGCCUCGCCAGCCCCACCCAGCCCAGUACAUGAGAAGAGGGCUUUUGAACUUGGCCUUCAGGGACCAGACCCCCCCAUCAAUCAACCUGCAGCCUUGGGUCAGACCUCCAUUAGCACUAACCAGCCUGGACAAGAGGCAGACACCAUCGGGCUAGGCCUCGGGGUGAUAAGACCCAGAUUGAAUCACCAGGUGGGGGGAGCUGGACACCCAGGGACAAGAGACAGCCAUGCUGUCGGCCCUGAGGAGCCAUGGAGAGCGUGGGUUAUUGCAGGAGCUGGGCAGGUGAUUGGAAGUGAUGGGGCUGGAGUAGGGGGGUGGAAUUGCUUCUCCCUGCUCCUGGGUGAGGAAGAUGGGGACAGGGCCCAGGUCCUGGGGUGGGGGACCUCACCCGGCCUCGGAGUUGAUAGAAGCCUCAGGCCACUCAGUAAGACCAGUGGCAUUCCAAGGGACAGAGGGGCAGGGAGAGCACACCUCCUCCCUCAGGCAGAGUGGAACGGGGAGAUGGCCCACCUGGUCCUUAGGAAAUAG
rnacentral:lncRNA from 1 species